rnacentral:rRNA from 1 species
UACGGAGGGUGCGAGCGUUGUCCGGAAUCACUGGGCGUAAAGCGCACGUAGGCGGCUUUCUAAGUCAGGGGUGAAAUCCUGGAGCUCAACUCCAGAACUGCCUUUGAUACUGGAGAGCUAGAGUCCGGAAGAGGUGAGUGGAACUGCGAGUGUAGAGGUGAAAUUCGUAGAUAUUCGCAAGAACACCAGUGGCGAAGGCGGCUCACUGGUCCGGUACUGACGCUGAGGUGCGAAAGCGUGGGGAGCAAACAGG